rnacentral:rRNA from 1 species
UACGUAGGGUGCAAGCGUUGUCCGGAAUUAUUGGGCGUAAAGAGCUCGUAGGCGGUCUGUCGCGUCAUGCUGGUGAAAACUCGGGGCUUAACUCCGGGCCUGCAGUGGGUACGGGCAGACUAGAGUGCGGUAGGGGGAAACUGGAAUUCCUGGUGUAGCGGUGAAAUGCGCAGAUAUCAGGAGGAACACCGGUGGCGAAGGCAGCUCUCUGGGACGGUACUGACACUGAGACGCGAAAGCGUGGGGAGCGAACAGG